rnacentral:rRNA from 1 species
UACGUAGGGAGCAAGCGUUGUCCGGAAUCAUUGGGCGUAAAGCGCGCGUAGGCGGCCCCGUAAGUCCGCUGUGAAAGUCAAAGGCUCAACCUUUGAAAGCCGGUGGAUACUGUGGGGCUAGAGUCCGGAAGAGGCGAGUGGAAUUCAUGGUGUAGCAGUGAAAUGCGUAGAGAUCAUGAGGAAGACCAGUGGCGAAGGCGGGUCUCUGGACAGUUCCUGACACUGAGGCACGAAGGCCAGGGGAGCAAACGGG